rnacentral:rRNA from 1 species
CCUACGGGAGGCAGCAGUGAGGCAUCUUGGUCAAUGGCCGGAAGGCUGAACCAGCCAAGCCGCGUGAAGGACGAAGGUGCCAAGCAUUGUACACUUCUUUUUUCCCUUUCCCCCCUCCUUCUCUCGCGCCUGCCCGCGGGUCCUUGCCGCCCCCGCCUCGGCUCCCUCCGUGCCCGCCGCCGCGGUCCUCCUGAGGAUGCGCUCGUUCUCCGGAUUUCUUUUUGUUAAAGGAUUCUUCUUCUUUCUUUUCCUUCAGCGGUAACAGCCCGGGGCUCAACCCCGGCGCGCCGUUGAAACUGGCUGUCUUGAGAUGUCGAGAGGUAUGCGGAAUGCGCAGUGUAGCGGUGAAAUGCUUAGAUAUUGCGCAGAACUCCGAGGGCGAAGGCAGCAUACCGGCGGCGAUCUGACGCGGAGGCACGAAAGCGUGGGUAUCGAACAGGAUGAGAGACCCGAGUAGUC